rnacentral:rRNA from 1 species
GAUGAACGCUAGCGGCAGGCUUAACACAUGCAAGUCGAGGGGUAUGCUUCUUCGGAAGCAGAGACCGGCGCACGGGUGCGUAACGCGUAUGCAAUCUACCUUUUACAGAGGGAUAGCCCAGAGAAAUUUGGAUUAAUACCUCAUAGUAUUAUAGAAUGGCAUCAUCUUAUAAUUAAAGUCACAAACGGUAAAAGAUGAGCAUGCCGUCCCAUUAGCAGUUGGUAAGGUAACGGCUUACCAAGGCUACGAUGGGGUAGGGUCCUGAGAGGGAGACUCCCCACACUGGUACUGAGACACGGACCAGACUCC